GAUGAACGCUGGCGGCGUGCUUAACACAUGCAAGUCGAACGAAGAAGGUUAGAAUGAGAGCUUCGGCAGGAUUUCUUUCCAUCUUAGUGGCGGACGGGUGAGUAACGUGUGGGCAACCUGCCCUGUACUGGGGAAUAAUCAUUGGAAACAAUGACUAAUACCGCAUGUGGUUCUCAGAAGGCAUCUUCUGAGGAAGAAAGGAUUUAUUCGGUACAGGAUGGGCCCGCAUCUGAUUAGCUAGUUGGUGAGAUAACAGCCCACCAAGGCGACGAUCAGUAGCCGGACUGAGAGGUUGAACGGCCACAUUGGGACUGAGAUACGGCCCAG
rnacentral:rRNA from 1 species